rnacentral:tRNA from 1 species
GGCCCCGUCGCCAAGCGGUAAGGCAGAGGUCUGCAAAACCUCCAUCACCAGUUCGAAUCUGGUCGGGGCCUCCA